CAGCUUCCAGCUUCCCGGUCAGUCGGUCGGGUGUAGAUGCAGGGCUGCUGGUCAGCUGCUCCGGAUAGCUCGUGUCUCCCUCAGGAUACACUCUGUUGAAUCAGCUGAGGAGCCACUGAGAGGGUUAUUGAGGGCAUCAA